GAAAAAUUCAGAAAUUCUACCUGAGUUCAGGAACUACUACUGCCUGAAUUUAGGAACUUCAGAAAUGUGCCUCAUUUUGAAGAGUGAUGAUAAGUCAAGCAGGAUUUGCAUAGACACCACGAGAGAGUUCCCUGGUCAUAAUCUGCCACAUUGCUUGGAUGAGCAGAUCAAAACACUCUUCAUUUUGUGGUGACAGCAGUGCACAGACAUCCAGAACAUGGCUUGUCUUUCACGUCACCAUUACCACUGUUGAAAUGCACCACUCAACACCUCACGGUGCUCAUGUCCACUGUUUGGUCUUCAAAAACAUUCAGCAAAUGUCAAUGAAUGUCAGUAAGUGCCUUCUUUUUUUUUUUUUUUCUCCAAGGAGGAAAUUCAAUUCCAGCCUUCAUUUUCAUGUGCACUUCCAUGUCAGAUUUACCAUCUGCUGCAAUCCAACACAUGGUGACAAAAUGUAAUGGGAUAUUGGCAGGGAGGUUCAGUCUCUACUGCCAUACCACCAACAUCUGUUUUGAUGUUGUAGACCAACAUCAUAGGACAGGAGGAAAUACUUUUGGAGCAGGUCUUGUAAGCGUUUACCAGCUUCAAAGUCAUCCUUACACUGUAAGCACAUGGCACCUCAUGGUCAGGUCUUGGCUGAUGUCCUCUGUAGGCAUAAAGCCUCAGUUUAGUACAAAUCCAAUUUUAAAUGGAAUACCAGGCUCUUAAAAAAAAUAACCACCAUAAAGGUACCAGACUGCAUAAUGGAUAUUAGCCAUGCUCCUAAGUGUCUUCCUGAAUGAAGGCCAUGGCCUAUUGAUUACAGAUGAUGUAUUAACAACAUAAUUUUCUCAGAAAUGAUGAUAAAGUCUGCAUCUAGGCCAAGGUUAUCCACAGGUACAGCAAUGCAGAUUGACAUGGGAGUUACAAGCACGCUGUUGGACAGUCACACUGACAGCACGUGGCUCCCAGCAGCCCACGCUAACAGCCCCCACUCCCCUGAGCUGCAACACACACCUUCACAUGCUACAUGAGUCCAGCACAGUGGGUUCAUCAACACCUUCUCCUGCCAGAGGCAAUUCUGAGUGGCAAAAACUGCUGCUAAUUGUACAUAGACUGCCAUUCAUGAAAGUGUGCUGUGCGGAGAUUUAUAGCUGUGCCUGUGCAGGUCUCUAAAUGAGAGGUAAUUAAUAGAAAUUAAUUAGCAAGUGUUAAUUGAGUAAAAUCAAUUAGAAAAUGCUAUACUAACAGCUGUACGGUAGGAGUGCAAAGGACAGCUCUGCACGGUUGUUAGGCUGAGCAGCCAACACAAGAAACAGCUAGCAAGCAUGGGACAUGGCACUUUUCUCUGUGCUGUUUUGCUGCGUGAUGCUGCAACCCUGGGAAGUGGUAACAGAAUGUGUAAAUCUCAUGUCAUUUUUUCCUGAGCAACAUGAGAUCCACCUAAGAGUGGAUUCUGAAGGUCUGAGAUUCUUCAUUUCCCGAGGUGCAAUCCUAUGCCUAUAGCACCUUGCAAUUAGCCAGAGGGGCUUAGAAGAUGAAAUCUCAUGGGUCUGGACCAGCGCUCCUGGUUCUAGGAACGGAAGUUUUCUUGGUGGUAGUGCCAUCCUCUUGCAUGAGCCUACAAAACUGGAGCCUGUAGCACAAAUAAGUAAAAUAUUAGUGCCAUAUUGUGCUGCAAAUGCUGCAGAAGCAGAACAACCACAGACUGUCACUUCAGCAUUGCAUUGGCAAGAGUUGUUUUUAUUUACAUCUGCUGUUUUCAUCACUGCAUGACGAAACAGAAAGGAGGAGAUGUUCCAGAACAGUAUCUAGGUCAGGGCCAUAUUUUUUGUCUCCUACCCAGGGGACAGUGAUCUUUGGCAGCUUCCACAAGGGCUGAGUUCCCCUCAAAAUUAAUCCAGGCCAAAGCCCAUGCCCUUCUCGGAACCAACCAGCUUCAACAUUCACAUCCCACAGGCUGCCCUGAAUCAAAGCUGGUUCGUACACAGCAGUGACAUUCAGGCAACUCAGAAGUUAAUGAUGCAGGAGAACAGCUGGGUGUGACUGAUACGAAAGGGGAGAAUGUGCUUCUAGCUUUUCAAUCACAGUUAAUCAUUAAAACAUUUCAUGGUCACAGGUGCUGGCUUCCUUACAAGCUCCCCUUAUCAGCCAUAAUUAUUUCCUGAUCUGCUUUCACCUAAGUACCUGGCAAAUUUAUGCACAACACCCUUGAAUCACCUGACUGCAUUUAUUGCCCUGUAAUCCAGGUCAAAUGGGCCUCUGCUAUGUCAGCUGCAACGUUUACAGCAUGUUAUUUCUCCCAGCUCAUGCCUAAAUGUAAGAGCUGUUCUGCCCACUGCCUUCCCUUUAUACUACUCCUCUUCCCGUGACAAAGCAAAACAGAGCAGUAAGCUAAAUAUCUCAGAACAUCUACCUUAUCUCCUCCACCAAAACACAACUCCUGCAUAAAGCCCACAAGAGUUCUGGUUCCAACCCAAUUCUACUUCACUCUACAUUUUCAAUCAUUUUAAUUCUACAGAUAUUGUCUAGACAACUGAAUUAAUGCAUUUCUAUUUACACUCCUUUCCUUUCCUUUUUUUUUUUUUUUUGUUGUUGUUGUUGUUUUUUUGUUUUCUGACAAAGACUAGCUCACGUCCAUAGAGGAGUGGGAUCUAAAUCCAGUGAUAGACUGAAAUACAUUACAGUAUGUUAUUAAGCAUGUCAGAGCCAGCAGAGGUGGGACUCAGCUUUCUGCUGGGUACAGUCUGGAGUUAGCAACUUAACUCUUCUACUGAAUAAAAAUGGAUAGAAUAACCCGGCCCAGCAUGGUAGGUUUGAACACAUGAAGUCAAAUCCUGAAGCCCUGUGUAAGUGGAGCCAGUGGAAAUUUCCAAGAUCAGGACAGGGCCUGCACUUUGAUAAGUAUUAUCAAUGUACAUAAAUAAAAGUAAGAACUGGAGAUCCAGUUCCCAUUGCAGCUCUGCUUAACAGGCAGAAAUUCAACUGUUCUCAGUGAAGCAGAAGCUGUCCCAUCUACAGGUACAUGAACCUACAUGUGUACAUAUACCUGUGUUGUACAGCACCUACCUGAGCUACCAACAAGAUCUUCCUAUUACAACAUAGGCAAAGGGGACAGAGGUCUCCAUCCAGGGAGAGGAAGAGUUGAGAAAUGGAAGCAUGGCUUUUCAUGAUCAAGUUCAUCUUCUUGAUGAGACAGUAACAUCUACAAAAAGGAACAAAUAAGCAUCGAAGGGGGAUUUUGUUUUCACUGCUUAAGAUCAUGAAAAUACUGUUUUAGGGAAAUUCAAAACCAUGUAGUAAGCAGGGGAUGUACAUGGAAUAACCCCAAGGCCAGAUUACAUUGCUGUUGCUUAAUCUUGGCGUCUGAUACAUGGUUGACUCUGCUUGCAGGCAAUUGCAAGGUCAUUGUGAAACACUAGUUAUCAACAAUUCAAAACAAUGCUUCCUCUUUCUUUCUAGCAUAGUAUUCACCUAAAACAGCCACUAAUUCAGAGAGCUCUCAAAUAUGAACGAGAAUUUGAAAAUGCCCUGCUCUGCUUGUCUUCUCCUGCUCACUGCAGUCAAGUCUCUUCCAAGGCAGACCAGGGCACUGCAGGGACACUGGGCAUGCUCUGAGAGCCGAGACAGGACACCAGCAGAGUCUAAGAUAGGAGCUCAGAGAAAUGUCUACCCUCACGUGCAGUUCUCUACCGUGUGAGCACACCUUGCUGCUCAAACAGUUAUCUAUCAUUCUGCCUGUAGCCACUGCAUAUAGUGCUUUCAAAAUACCGGCUCAAUGCUCAGAACGAAGGCAUGCAGGAUCACUGGCAGUCCUACAGAAACUCUAGGGGAAAAGAUGGUAAACUUUGCCACUGUGGAAGAAGUCUGCAAUGCAUCUAUGCCAUAUUCCCUGGGGGGGGGGGGGGGGGGGGUGGUCUCAUCACUCUCUCUUGAAAAGCACAGGCAAUAAACAGGGAAGAACAGACGUGGUGAUUUUGCAUACUGCACAGCCUCUGUCUCCACGUAGGUGGAUGCCACAGCUCAGAAAAGCGACAGCAGGGGGAGGUGACAGAGGUCUGCAGAGACACAAAUAGUGGCAAGGCGUUUGAAGUGUUCAAGACAACUGCAUCCUGGGCUGCAUCAACAGAGGGGUGGCAGCAGGGCAACGGAGGGGACUGUCCCCCUCUGCUCUGUCCUUGUGAGGCCCCAUCUGGAGUACUGCGUCCAGGCCUGGGGUCCCCAGCACAGGAAGGACAAGGAGCUGUUGGAGUGGGUCCAGAGGAGGCCACGAAGAUGCUCAGACCGCUGGAGUACCUCCCCUGUGAAGAAAGGUUAAGGGAGUAGGACUUGUUUAGCUUAGAUAAGAGAAUGCUCUGGGGAGACCUCAUUACAGCCCUCCAGAACUUGAAGGGGAGCUCAUAAGCAGGAGGGAAAGCAACUUUUUACACAGGCUAAUAGUGACAGGACAGGGGGAAUGGCUUUAAACUAAAAGAGGGAAAAUUUAGGAUAGAUGUUAGGAAAAAAUUCUUUACUCAGAGGGUGUUAAGGCCCUGACACAGGCUGCCCAGAGAAACUGUGGGUGCCCUAUACCUGGAGGUGUUCAGGACCAGUCUGGAUGGGGCUCUGGGCAGCCUGAACUAGUGGCUGGCAACCCUGCCCAGAGCAGGGCUGUUGGAACUAGAUGGUCUUCAAAGUCCCUUCCAAAUUAAGCCAUUCUAUGAUUCUAUCGCACAAGUAGAACCACUGCACUUAAAGGAUCCACUAAAAAUUACCACAGAGCUGAUGACAGACUUCGGGUGGAUAUGCCAGGGUUAUGGCAGGGGAAGGAUCACACUACCUAGAGUUUCUCUCUCAGGCUUCCCUCAGACACUGCAAACUGGGUGAAGAUGGGCCUUUGGCAUUAGCCAGCACAAAUCUCACUACCAGGGCAUACAACGAUUGCUUAUACUGCAGAACAAUCUGUCUUCUGCCCAGAACUAUACCCAGGCACAUAGCUUUUAGAAACUGCCUUUUUGCUUUCUUGCAACUUUCCAUUUCAGAUUUUCACACUGUUGCUUUCUUUCAGCUUUUUUUUACCAUUGUAUAUACACCUAGAUUUUGAAUGACAGUGAAAUAUGCGGCAAUGACAGCCUUACAGCCUGCUGUCAACUGUCUGUCCACAAAUACUUGCACCCUGUCACUGUUGCCUGUGUGUCCUGAGCCUUAACUAAGGAGGCCUCUUUCAGAGCUCAUUCCUCAUCGUGCGUUCAGUCCUCUGCUGAGACAGCCAACAGCGGUGGCAAUAAUGGAAAUCACUCACUGUGGCGUAAUAUCCCAUCCCCAGGGCAUUCAUGUCCCACUGCUGCAAACCCACCAGCUUGGGGGAAUCACCGUGGAGCAGAACCAGGCUUGUCUGCCUGUAUACAACACGUCUCACGCUUUCAUUAUGACGUCCCUGAAGCUGAACUACAAGAUGCCUACCAUAAUCAGCAGCCACAAGAAUUAUUAGCACCAUUCUUUUUAUUUUUAAUGCUGUUUGAAAGACCUUAAUCAAAUCUGAUGAUGGGCAAGGUAGUCACUGAUGGAAUUACGCAAGAGGAAGGAGUGCAUCACCUGUGCUGUGGCUGUGCCUUGCAUCAGUGCUCCUAUAAGUCUCCUAUCAGAGUAACUUGAGCAACCUCUCAGUGGUCAUCUUGGCACUAGCAGAUCAUGUAGGGCAAGCUACAGCCAUAAUAUUUUGAGCUGUGCCAUUCCUUUUUUCAAGCUCACUCACCUGCUAACUGACACCAUGGUGGAUGGCGUUAAACUUCCCCCAUGGGUCCAAAAAGAAUGCUAUUUCCUUUGUUUUUAUUGGAUUUCUGUGCCAAGAAAUUCCUGAAGAUGGAAUUAAGACUCUGGCAUAUACCUGUUUCUUCUUGCUCAGGCCUUGCUUUGCUGUUGCUAGGGCAUCAUCCCAGUCCUGGUUCACUGCAGGCAUAGGUGGAAGUUGCUGGCUUCUGUCAGCUUAAUAGCAGUGCACAUAAGUUCUCUGUCAAGCUGCAUCUUGCCCAUCCGCUCAGCCUUGUUUAAACACAGGGAGGGAGGCAGGGGAUUGUUUCUUGCCUUCUGAGAAAUGUUUCAUGAACCUGGAAUUUUUUUGAGGUCUUUUUCUGAGGUUGGCUUCUCGGUAAGUCUUCUUUCCUGAAAUCCCAAUGAAGCACACAUAACGUUCCAAGAAAUCGCACCUCAGGCUUUGGGGUAGAAGCGUGGGAUAAGUGCAGGUUUGAUUAACAACAAGUAAGUACUUUGCAUGGUUCCCCUUACAAAAAAAAAAAAAAAAAAAGAUAGAAAUAGCUUCCUGUGGGACAUACAUACCCACCAAAAAGCCCCAGCUUCCAACAAACAAAACAAAACAAAAGAGAAAAGACUUCUGAGUUUCUUUCUGAUCUGAACAUGGCCCUCAGACAAGGCCGGUGAUUGAAGUACACCCAGGGUGUCUCACAGACCAAUGCAAAUCACUGCCCCAAGAUGCCUCCCAGCUACUCCUCUCUUCUGAGGACACACCCCCAAGCCUGCUGUGCUCUGCAGGUGGGUCCACUUGCUCCCUGCCAUUAGCAUGAAAACAUGCCACCAGUCAUACCCAUUCUCCAAGGCACAGUCAAGCUGUCAGCCCCAGUGACAGCUCUGCUUCACGACGGCUCUUGAAGUGAGCAGCUCAUGAGGCACCUGGGAGCAGUCAAACUCUUUUACAAGACUGAAGGAUCCAUCGCUUUAACUCCACUUUCUGGGGUCUGUAUUUCCCACGUCCCCAUAUCUAUCUCUGUCUUGCUGCAAACAAACAAACAACCAGCACCUUUACUGGUUAUUUAGCCAUAAAUAACAGCUGAAGUGCAAAGCCCUCUGCCUCUAGCUCCCAGACCACGAAACUGGAAGGCAAAAAGAGGGAAACAAACAGCAUUAAUAUGAUUUAUCUUUUGCAUGCUGGCUCCACCCUCUCUCUCAAGGCUGUGCAUUUCAAUAAUGAGAAACAGGGCACUUCCACUUCCCACGCACAAACCCCCUUUUAUUUCCUACACAGUAAGGAGUUAAGACAUGAGAUUUGUUCAAGUGCUUCCCAUCAGAGCUACCUCUGGCUUUGACUUUGAUAAUUCAGCCCAACUGAUCUUUCUCUGGCAGUGCCAGUAGCAUCAGUAACCAGAGCGAUGGAAGGGCUUUACAGCUUGAAUGGCCUUUGGGACAGCUGGUGGAAGUGCCUGAAGCUCUCAGUUCUGCAUCCUCAAGUUCCUAAGCCAUAGUGUAUUCAUGAAUGUCAUUAUCUUUUAUUGUCAGCUUUGAAACAGGAGCAAAAUAAUGAAAGUGAGAUUCUCAAGCAGCUGCAUUACAUCAGUUACUAGAGGAAACUGAAUUGUGUGAUUGGGAAAUGGUGGCAGCUGCCCAAUUUUUCUGUCAUCCCAAUAUCCUGAUGCCAUCAACUCAUAUGUUGUUGUUUAAGUUUUUCAUCUCGGGCUGAGUUUUUCCAUUCCAUGUCUCCUAGGCCAGGUGUGACAGGAGUGAGUGCUGUUGCCUACCAGCAGAAAAUGAAUGUAGGAGACACGGGAGGAUCAAGAGGUGAUCAGCCAGAAAAAAUAUUAGCCUAGUCUCUGUGCAUUCCAGAAAGCUGCACACUACCCACUUUAACCUCUGUCACCAUGCCCCAAUUUCAGCUAAACUCAUAUUCUGCUAAGCCUUUCUGAAGUUACCUUCAAAGCAUCUGUGGUCACCCAGGUAACAUAACAAUGACUGAAACUUUAAAUGGAGUCAUGCUGAUAGACCCCCUUAAGAUCCUCAUCAAAAGCUACUGAGAAAGCAUUGAUUUAGAUUUACCAGCAGGAAAAUUUUGUUAUUAGAAUCACAGAAUCUCCAAGGUUGGAAAAGACCCACAGGAUCAUCCAGUCCAACCAUUCGCCCUUCACCAAUGGUUCUCACUAAACCAUGUCCCUCAACACAACAUUCAAAACAUUCUUUGAACACCUCCAGGGUCGGUGACUCCACCACCUCUCUGGGCAGCUCAUUCCAGGGCCUGACCACCCUUUCAGAGAAGUAGUAUUUCCUAACGUCCAGCCUGAAUCUUCCCUGGCGCAGCUUGAAGCCAUUCCCUCUAGUCCUAUCACUGUCACACGAGAGAAGAGGCUGACCCCCAGCUCACUGCAACCUCCCUUCAGGUAGUUAUAGAGAGCAAUAAGGUCUCCCCUGGGCCUCCUCUUCUCCAGACUGAACAAUCCCAGCUCCUUCAGCCGCUCCUCAUAAGGCCUGUGCUCCAGACCCCUCACCAGCUUUGUUGCCCUCCUCUGGACACGCUCCAGGGCCUCGAUGUCUUUCUUACAGUGAGGGGCCCAAAACUGGACACAGUACUCGAGGUGCGGCCUCACCAGUGCUGAGUACAGGGGGACAAUUACUUCCCUGUUCCUGCUGGCAGCACUGUUUCUGAUACAAGCCAGGAUGCCACUGGCCUUCUUGGCCACCUGGGUACACCUCUGGCUGACUCCUGCUGCUAGUUGUGAAGCUGUUGCCUUCUUUCUUCCUGGUAGCAAUACUUCUGUGCAUUGGAGCUCAAACUCUACCAGCAUUCAAGCUUUUCCUCUUCACCUCUUUCAAGACAGUUUGGUCCUGUAAAUGCUUUCAGACUCCUCCAGCUUCUAGAGAGCUCUUAUUUUUGGGACCCUUUGGAGGCAGCUCUGGACUAUGCUCAACUAACAAUGCUGGCUAUAUUAGUAGUUAUAUUUUUGUUAUGCAGCUGUCAGAGAUGCUUUUGUAGAGGUUUCGCUUUUUAAGAAUGUAGGACUUAAUGAGUAUCCAAACAACUGACUGAUUUUAAACUUUCAGAACUACUGGUGGUGGUGGCUGUAGUUGAAGAUAACUUGAAGCCAAUACAAAAUGGUGGCACUGAGGCUCCUAUGGAUAAGUACAAUUUCAUGACCAGACCACCAGAGAAUGACUUUAAACACACUGCAGCUGAUGCCAGCAAUUAGCUGGGCACAUGCUCGUAACUCAUGCAAAUACUGAGGGAUUCAAGUUUCAUAGACAUCCAUGUACACAAACAGAAGCAAGCAGCAAACUUUGGCUGAAUACCCAAACGCCCUUCAGAGUGAAAAAUAGGAAAGAAGGUUGUUCAUUCCAUUCUUUCAUACUGAUGGAGACCUAGGUCCAGAGCAGGAACUGAGAGUGUACUCCCUGCUAUUUUGUUUUGACAUAAAUGUAAUUUGUAUUUCACGUUUUGGAGCUCAGAUUCCUGAGCAGAGGCAGACAGUAAAACUACAUUGUGUUUCAAGCCCUGAUGUUGGGAAUGACAUGCCAACCAGCUUUCUCAUUAUAAAAGCAGUAGGACUAAGUUUUCAGGAAGAAGACAGAUUUGUCUUCCCUUGUACUUGAGGACUUUCCCAACCACCAUACAACCACAGAGUAAACGUAUGUAACCAGGGUGAAUGAGGGUGAAGAGUGACUCAGGCUUUCUGAGGCAGCAUCAAGUGCAAACAAGACCUUUGACAUGAGUUGCUGACUGCCUCAAAGUGAAACAUCACUGACAGCUGCACAGUGCAUCACAGGGCAGUCAUCGCUUUCACAUCAGAGAUGAUUCUUCCUGAUGAUCAGAUCUAUGAAAGCAGCACCUGCCACAGAAGGGCUCUGUAGCCAUUCCUCUCAACACACCAGGAUCUUUUUCCAUGUGCGGUCACACCAUGUGUACAGUUGCCUCUGGGAGUUGUUGGAAACUGUUGCAUAUCUUCAACUGGAAUUUGAAGGACCGGCCUCCAAGAUACCAAGUUCAUAUGAAUAGCAAGAAAAAUAGUGACCAAAGAGAGCAGAAAAUCUCUGUUAGUGCCCCUGUUAUGGCAAAGGCUGAUGAAAUGAGCUCUCUCUAGGCCCUGGAGAGCUCCCAGAAGGACAUGUUAGAAAGCAGACCUGACUCCUGCUGCUAGUUGUGAAGCUGUUGCCUUCUUUCUUCCUGGUAGCAAUACUUCUAUGCAUUGGAGCUCAAACUCUACCAGCAUUCAAGCUUUUCCUCUUCACCUCUUUCAAGAUAGUUUGGUCCUGUAAAUGCUUUCAGACUCCUCCAGCUUCUAGAGAGCUCUUAUUUUUGGGACCCUUUGGAGGCAGCUCUGGAGUAUGCUCAACUAACAAUCCAUUUCCUUGAUCCAAAGCCUGACUGUGCAGGAAGUUGACAGCCAAUUUCGGUAGGUCUCCAGAACAACUCAUGUCUCCACUACCUGCAAGAGGAAUGUUUAAACUUUUGCUCACAGUAAGUAUCAGCUGAUACUCUUAAUCAUCACCGGAGAGGAAAAGGAGGGAUGGAAAAAUGUGUGCCUGCCAGCCCUCUUACCAAGGCUUCAGGGUGAUCUUUUCUUGGGGGAUGGGGCGGUGGUCCGGUUCUCUACUUUGUUCAUUUGAAGCACAGUAGUCUUAGAUGCUUUUGAAAAGAAGGUACUGGUAGUCUUGGUGGUCUGCCCCAAGAGGCUGUGAAAACAGCAGAAAAGUCAACCAAGAAUCAUUCCUGUAUCUAUUAUGAAAUGAUCCUAAGACUGGAAAUACUGCAACAACUCAACAGUAGGAUAGUAUAUCAAUACAAUAUCAAAGGUUCUAAAACAGAAGUUCCCCAGAUUUUCCAGUCCUCCCUUGUUGUUCAAAGACUCCUCCUCCAUCAAAGCUCAAGCCCUCCCAAUCACGUGAGAGGCAUCAGAGGAUCAUUAAUCUGAAAGAAAUUGGUGGAAAGUGUGUCAAGCACAUCCAAUCUUUGAACUGAGUACUUUAGAAGAUCAUUGCAAAAUAAAAGACAACUGUACAUUCAUUUCCCUUUAGAAAGAAC
ensembl:lncRNA